rnacentral:rRNA from 1 species
GGAGUACGGUUGCAAGGCUAAUACUCAAAGAUAUGGACGGGUGCCCGCACAAUCAACGGAGCGUGUGGUUUAAUUCGAUGCAACGCGAAGAUCCUUACCAGGGCUUGACAUGUAGGUAGUAUUGAAGCGAAAUCGGAACGAUCCUUCGGGAAGCUUACACAGGUGCUGCAUGGCUGUCGUCAGCUCGUCCCGUGAGGUGUUAGUUUAAGUCCUGUAACGAGCGCAACCCCUGCCGUUAGUUACAAGUGUCUAACGGGACUGCCCGCCAAAACUGGGAGUAAGGUGGCGAUGACGUCAAGUCAGCAUGGCCUUUAUGUCCUGGGCUACACACACGGUACAAUGGCCGGUACAAUGGGUGGCCAAGCCGCGAGGCGGAGCCAAUCCUCUAAAGCCGGUCUCAUUUCGGAUUGUAGGCUGCAACCCGCCUGCAUGAAGUUGGAGUGGCUAGUAACCGCAGGUCAGCCACACUCCGGUGAAUACGUUCCCGGGCUUGUACACACCGCCCGUCACGUCAUG